UAAUUUUGUUCAAGCAUAUUUAAUAAUUUUAUCGCGGAAAGGCGUCCUCCCGCCUCCCAGCCGCGCACCUGGCGGUUGUGCGGGGACCCCGCCUCGGUAACGGCGCCUCCGCUCUACCCGAGCACCUCGCGGAGAGCCGAGGCUUCGGUGCGUGCCGCGUCUGCUCCGCUACCGCAGCUCCUCCCCUGGGAAGAAGAAUCUGUAAAGGGCUGUUGGAACUGAUAUACUCUAAUUAUGGGAUUUCAAAGAAAAGACCCCAACAGAAAAGAGGCUGAAAAGGAACAGGAGAAGGACUUGGAAAAGGACAAGAUGUGACCAUUUCAGGCAAAAAAUCUUAACCUAAUGGAUUCUAAGAGGAAGAAGACUGCUACAAUGAUGUGAGAUAAUCUUCUGACUGUGCCUGACAUAUCCCACCAUAGAUUCUCAUCUUUAAAAAUGCCUUCCUCUUUUUCCUUUUUUUGUCUAUG
rnacentral:lncRNA from 1 species